rnacentral:misc_RNA from 1 species
CCUGCGCUCGCCAAGCUUGGCGUGCCGCUGAUCAUCAGCCACAUGUUCGCGUUCUACUACGGCAUCAUGGCGGAUCUCUCGCCGCCGGUUGCGCUUGCGGCGCUGGCUGCUGCGCCGAUUGCGAAAGAGAAUNNNNNNNAGAUCGGCUGGGAAGCAAUGCGCAUCGCGCUCGCCGGCUACGUGAUCCCGUUCAUUGCGGU